rnacentral:rRNA from 1 species
UACGAAGGGGGCUAGCGCUGUUCGGAAUUACUGGGCGUAAAGCGCACGUAGGCGGAUUUGUAAGUCAGGGGUGAAAUCCCGGGGCUCAACCUCGGAACUGCCUUUGAUACUGCAAAUCUCGAGUCCGGAAGAGGUGAGUGGAAUUCCUAGUGUAGAGGUGAAAUUCGUAGAUAUUAGGAAGAACACCAGUGGCGAAGGCGGCUCACUGGUCCGGUACUGACGCUGAGGUGCGAAAGCGUGGGGAGCAAACAGG